AAAGUAGACCUGUGUUAUCCUGUGAAAAAAGACGAAAUUUAAAAACUAGCCGAGGGAAGCAGAAGUCGAAAAAAACAGAGCGUAUCCACGGAGGAAGAAGUGGUGUUAACCGUCAAAGCACUGUAGUACAGGUCAAUAGAAAAAAAACUAAAUCAACAACACCAGCAGUGCCAAAGAGAAACAGACAAACAGGAAGGCGAAUCAUGAGAUGGAAUAGCUCAAGAUGGAUCACCAUACUCACCGAUGAUGAGAGGAAAAGACACAUAUGGUUGAUAAUCAUCUUCGAACUUCUGGGACAUUUACUACUGUACAUUAUCUAUGUUUUAAUAAUGACCAGAUGUAUCAAAGAACUUUUUGUUAUGAUGGACAGAGUUUGGAAAGCUAUUUUGUUAGCACACUUGGGUCAAUUUCUGUGUGUUCUUACAGUAAACACAUACUUGGAA
rnacentral:misc_RNA from 1 species